rnacentral:rRNA from 1 species
AUUGAACGCUGGCGGCAGGCCUAACACAUGCAAGUCGAGCGAGCGGCCGACGGGUGAGUAAUGUCUGGGAAACUGCUUGCUGGGGGGGGGUAACUACUGGAAACGGUCGCUAAUUCCGCAUACCAUCGGUUGUGUCCAGCUGGGAUUAGCUAGUAGGUGGGGUAACGGCUCACCUAGGCGACGAUCCCUAGCUGGUCUGAGAGGAUGACCAGCCACACUGGAACUGAGACACGGUCCAGACUCCUACGGGAGGAAGCAGUGGGGAAUAUUGCACAAUGGGGGAAAGCCUGAUGCAGCCAUGCCGCGUGUGUGAAGAAGGCCUUCGGGUUGUAAAGCACUUUCAGCGAGGAGGCGUUACCCGCAGAAGAAGCACCGGCUAACUCCGUGCCAGCAGCCGCGGUAAUUC